GUCCACUUGUACGGUUCUCUGAUCGAAAUUCAAAGAAGCGAUUGUUGUACUUCAUAGCAAAGUCAAUUGUUUGACUCAAUAUUUGAGGAUCAGAUAAAUUAAUCAUUAAUUUUUUUACCUCAUAUUGUAAUCCAUAGAGAAAUUGGCUAAUAAGUGCAGUAAUAUUCCACUUGAUAUCAGUUGCAAGUUGUCAAAAUUGUAAAG
rnacentral:lncRNA from 1 species